GACGAACGCUGGCGGCGUGCUUAACACAUGCAAGUCGAACGGUGAAGCGCCUUCCUUUUUGGUGGGUGUGGAUGAGUGGCGAACGGGUGAGUAACACGUGAGUAACCUGCCCCCUUCUUCUGGAUAACCGCAUGAAAGUGUGGCUAAUACGGGAUAUUCUGGGUCUGUCGCAUGAUGGGUCUGGGAAAGAUAUUGUUUCGGUGGGGGAUGGGCUCGCGGCCUAUCAGCUUGUUGGUGGGGUGAUGGCCUACCAAGGCGGUGACGGGUAGCCGGCCUGAGAGGGUGGACGGUCACACUGGGACUGAGACACGGCCCAGACUCCUACGGGAGGCAGCAGUGGGGAAUAUUGCACAAUGGGCACAAGCCUGAUGCAGCGACGCCGCGUGAGGAAUGGAGGCCUUCGGGUUGUGAACCUCUUUCGCCAGUGAAGCAGGCCUGCCUCGUUUGUGGGUGGGUUGACGGUAGCUGGAUAAGAAGCGCCGGCUAACUACGUG
rnacentral:rRNA from 1 species